AACGCGAAGAACCUUACCUACUCUUUACAUCCAGAGAACUUAGCAGAGAUGCUUUGGUGCCUUCGGGAACUCUGAGACAGGUGCUGCAUGGCUGUCGUCAGCUCGUGUUGUGAAAUGUUGGGUUAAGUCCCGCAACGAGCGCAACCCUUAUCCUUUGUUGCCAGCGCGUAAUGGCGGGAACUCAAAGGAGACUGCCGGUGAUAAACCGGAGGAAGGUGGGGAUGACGUCAAGUCAUCAUGGCCCUUACGAGUAGGGCUACACACGUGCUACAAUGGCGUAUACAAAGGGAAGCGACCCUGCGAAGGCAAGCGGAACUCAUAAAGUCCGUCGUAGUCCGGAUUGGAGUCUGCAACUCGACUCCAUGAAGUCGGAAUCGCUAGUAAUCGU
rnacentral:rRNA from 1 species